rnacentral:misc_RNA from 1 species
UAAACCCUAGUUAAGCGGCAAUUUUUUCUAUAUAAACCCUCUAAAACCCUCAUUGGUACCGCCCUCUUCAAUCUUUGCACUUCGAAUAGCAGUCUUUUUUGCUCUCUUACUUCGCCCCCAGUUUUUCAGCUUUUCAAACAAUCAUCAAUGGAGUUUUGGGGUGUUGAAGUGAAAGCAGGACAAACACUAAAGGUUAAGCCCGAGCUUUUCAAGCUCAUUCAUAUUUCUCAGGCUGCCAUAGGUGAAGUGAAGGAUGUCAAAGAAGCCAAAUAUGUUCCACUACGCCUAACUGUUGGAGAUAACAAAUAUGUCAUUGGAACUCUAUCUGCUGAGGAUAGACCUCAGUUGAUGUUUGACUUGGUCUUUGAAAAGGAGUUUGAACUUUCACAUGGAUGGAAAAAUGGGAGUGUGCACUUCAUGGGAUACUCUGCUGAUGAUCCGAGCAGUGAGGAAAUUGACUCUGGAGAUGAUGUUUUUUCCGAUGAAGAGAAUGUUAUGGAGGCACUGAAUGGGAAACUUGAGGCUGAUGUGAAGGAUGUAAAGCCUGAUGCAAAGAAGUCUGCACCUGCGAAGGAUGAGAAAAAUGCUAAGGUAGCUGAAUCAAAGAAAGAGACGGAAUCUGAUGAAGAUGAUGACGAUUCUGAAGAUGACUCUGAUGAUGAAGACGAUUCUGAAGAUGACUCUGAUGAUGAA